rnacentral:rRNA from 1 species
UACGGGGGGGGCAAGCGUUGUUCGGAAUUACUGGGCGUAAAGGGCGCGUAGGCGGUUUGAUAAGUCAGCUGUGAAAACCACGGGCUUAACUCGUGGCCUGCAGUUGAGACUGUCUGGCUUGAGUGUGGGAGAGGAGGGUGGAAUUCCUGGUGUAGCGGUGAAAUGCGUAGAUAUCAGGAGGAACACCGGUGGCGAAGGCGGCUCUCUGGACCACAACUGACGCUGAGGCACGAAAGCUAGGGGAGCGAACAGG